rnacentral:rRNA from 1 species
AUACAGUGGCAGACGGGUGAGUAACGCGUGGGAACGUACCUUUCACUACGGAAUAGCUCUGGGAAACUGGUGGUAAUACCGUAUACGCCCUCCGGGGGAAAGAUUUAUCGGUGAAAGAUCGGCCCGCGUUGGAUUAGCUAGUUGGUGAGGUAAUGGCUCACCAAGGCGACGAUCCAUAGCUGGUCUGAGAGGAUGAUCAGCCACAUUGGGACUGAGACACGGCCCAAACUCCUACGGGAGGCAGCAGUAGGGAAUCUUGCACAAUGGGCGAAAGCCUGAUGCAGCCAUGCCGCGUGAAUGAUGAAGGCCUUAGGGUUGUAAAAUUCUUUCGUCAGGGAUGAUAAUGACCGUACCUGAAGAAGAAGCCCCGGCUAACUUCGUGCCAGCAGCCGCGGUAAUACGAAGGGGGCUAGCGUUGUUCGGAAUUACUGGGCGUAAAGCGCACGUAGGCGGAUUUUUAAGUCAGGUGUGAAAUCCCGGGGCUCAACCUCGGAACUGCAUUUGAAACUGGAAGUCUUGAGACCAGGAGAGGUUAGCGGAAUACCGAGUGUAGAGGUGAAAUUCGUAGAUAUUCGGUGGAACACCAGUGGCGAAGGCGGCUAACUGGACU